rnacentral:misc_RNA from 1 species
AAGUCGUAACAAGGUUUCCGUAGGUGAACCUGCGGAAGGAUCAUUACUGAGUUAGGGUCUUCUGGGCCCGAACCUCCAACCCUAUGUUUAACUACUUUGUUGCUUUGGCAGGCCCGUCCUUCGGGGCCGCCGGGGGUGUUCAAUCACCUCUGGUCAGUGCUUGUCAGUAGCCCAUUUUAAAAUCUUUAUAAUAAUGAAGUCUGAAUCUUAAUUAAAAUUUAAUUAAAACUUUCAACAACGGAUCUCUUGGUUCUG